GAAAUAACCGUCAAAGAGUAAGCUUCUAACUUAAUCCUUAAGCAAUAAUAUGUUUUUAUUUCU
rnacentral:tRNA from 1 species